GAAUCCCGUGAACCAUCGAGUCUUUGAACGCAAGUUGCGCCCGAAGCCUUCGGGCCGAGGGCACGCCUGCCUGGGCGUCACGCAUCGCGUCGCCCCCCCUCCCUCNCACCCCGUUCGGGGCGGGGCGCGGGGGCGGAUACUGGCCUCCCGUGCGCCUCCGUCGCGCGGCCGGCCC
rnacentral:rRNA from 1 species